rnacentral:lncRNA from 1 species
UUCUGGUUAUCAGGAUAUCUCAUAAGCUAAGUUUCCUGCCAAAAGGAAGAGUUCUCUUGAGUUCUGUGCUGUCUGCCCCACGUAUGAGUGCGACUCAUUUUCUGAGCCACCUGUAUUCGGUAGCUGUAUUUUUUAAGAUGAUAUCUCCCAGGGGUCAAUUCUCAGGCAUUGGGCUCGAUGCCUUGCAGCUGAGACUGGCCACAAUGGCGACCUGGGACAGGGCCAAAACUCCCUUCCAGGGAAGUAAUUUAAAAGGCCAAAUUGGAAGAACUCUGAGGGCAAGCAACACAUCUCUUAUCUCUGCUUGUCCAGCAUCUACCUCAGCACAUGCUGAUGACAAGAUGGAAAAUUAUCUCAUGAAGCACAUCAUAAGUAAGUACAAAUCGUGGGUUUCUGUGCUUGAUGAAGUUUCU